rnacentral:rRNA from 1 species
GAUGAACGCUGGCGGCGUGCCUAAUACAUGCAAGUCGAGCGAACAGACGAGGAGCUUGCUCCUCUGACGUUAGCGGCGGACGGGUGAGUAACACGUGGAUAACCUACCUAUAAGACUGGGAUAACUUCGGGAAACCGGAGCUAAUACCGGAUAAUAUAUUGAACCGCAUGGUUCAAUAGUGAAAGACGGUUUUGCUGUCACUUAUAGAUGGAUCCGCGCCGCAUUAGCUAGUUGGUAAGGUAACGGCUUACCAAGGCAACGAUGCGUAGCCGACCUGAGAGGGUGAUCGGCCACACAGGACCGGAGCAACGGUCCAGACUCCUACGGGAGGCAGAAGUAGGGAAUCUUCCGCAAUGGGCGAAAGCCUGACGGAGCAACGCCGCGUGAGUGAUGAAGGUCUUCGGAUCGUAAAACUCUGUUAUUAGGGAAGAACAAAUGUGUAAGUAACUAUGCACGUCUUGACGGUACCUAAUCAGAAAGCCACGGCUAACUACGUGCCAGCCGCCGCGGUAAGAC